CGCCCUCCUCGGCCCGCCUCGCCCCGCCCCGCCCCGGGUCCGCGUCCAUCCCGGCCCGCACCGUCGGGCGGCCGUGCGCAGGCGCGGCGGGACAUCUGGGCCGUCGCGGAUCCGAAGGUCUGGCUCCGGAGCUCCUGCGGCUUAUGCCACGCUGAGCUCAAAAAGCUCCCUGCUCUUCCUCUCUCUGCGGAGGGAACAACACACAGUGGUGCAUCUUUAUUCUAUAUCUGGUCACAGCAAAUCUCACACAGCCCACAAAGGUAUAUUCUUGAAACCUAAUUUUUCUCUCUAAAUUAUCCUCAUUUAUCCCAAAUACAGUCAAAUUAAGACUAAUUUGUUUGCAAAAUAAGUCUGAUUUCAAUCAACUUGGUCUGAUUAUUUACAUAAGUGUAGUUGAUCAUAUAAACUCUUAAAUUUGGCUUUGCUGGAAAUUUUAGAAGACCUCUCAAGUCCAGAAAAGCCAUGCCAAGCACUUGCCAUCAGAUUCUGCC
rnacentral:lncRNA from 1 species